UACGUGAUGAAAUAGAAAACUUGAUGAAUUUGACUGGACGAUUAGACGGAUGUGUGUACGGAAGAGAUGCAAAUGGAAUUUCGAAUGGCCGCAGGGCAAACUAUCUAUACCCGGCCAAUCUUUUUUGUUACGCCCGGCCAAUCAAAGCCCAAAGGAAGAAAGAUUAAUUGAACAUAGCCUGCGAUAGCAAUCUUUCCGUGUGAGAAGUCAAAUGUGCGUGUCUCUGAAUAUUGUACUCGAGCGUGCUGUGUUGGUACGUAUUAUUUCUUAUUUUAUAUUUUUUUCAACUUCAGUCUAUAAAUUCCACCCGCAUUUCACGCGAUGCCAUGAACUCCACCGGCGGACAACAUGCAGGAGUAUAUCCACACAACUUUACGAUUUCAUUUACGACGAGAAUUAGUGCAGAGAGCGGAAGAGAGAGAGACGGAGACGAGUAGUAAUAGACACUCUUUCUCACUCCUCCCUUCCACUAAAUGAAUUUUUAUUCCCCCAUUAGCAUUAAUAUUAUUUAAACAGUAAUGGGACAUUUGGAUGGAAAGCGUAGAAUUUAUAGUUGCGAGGGGUGACGUCAUAGGGGCGGUUAUUAAUUCCUUUAGUCGUCUCUGGCCAUCAGGCUCUCCCUCAAGUCCUGAAGGAGGCAAAUUUGUUAACUCUUAACGAAUGAGCGUUUGGCGCAUGCUUGACCGUAAAUGGCGGAGAAAUGGGGAUUUUGUCGGGAGUUAUUUAGAGCGAUAACCUGUUACACAUCGCCACUCGCCAUCGUCCUACACCGUGGACGAGUGGAAAAAGUUCUUUGAUCCAGCUUUUCUCCGAAAAACGGUCAAGGACACGUGGCAAAUCAUGCUUAUUAGAAAAUUCUAUCGUAUGUCACAAAAGCCGUGAAAAUCAAUUUUCCAAACUGUGAAGCUGACAAUUUACCCACUCAUUUACAUCCUAAUGACCGACAUUAAUUAUGGGGUGGUAGAAUGUACACUUGGUAGUCAAAGAACUUCCAUAAUUGCUCGAAGCUAAAUUACCGUAGAAUGGGGGCUCGGUGGGGUCGUGCGUGACUCAACGUACUCCCUGAAUACUAGAGAGACCAUUUUCACGUCCACCAUAACACAUCAUGCCGACCUUCUGCCACCCUUUUCGGCGAAGCGAUGGUGUGUGGUGGCGGUGAGAGAGGGAGAGAGGGAGAAUUAUAACGAGAGUUAUAGGAAGAGUUGAAGGAAGAGGGCCUUUGUGUUAAUCACUCGGUGCUUGUUAUAUAUCUACCUCCUCCGGCAGUUAUAUCCUCAUGCCAUUUACGAUCUGACGAUAGUACCUUCCAAGCACGAAGAGCCGGCACGGGCAUCAUAUACCUCCGGGGCUUUUCCCGUUUACAAGAUGAGGAUCAGGAGGUGGAGGAUGAGGAUGACUCGGUCGUAUCUUUCAGCCAGAGUUCAUAACCAUAAUCAUCUGAGAUUACGGGGUAAGCCUUGUUUGUGUACGUGUAUUUUGUGGUGGGUUUCAUAAGAGGCUCGUUUAACGCACAAGCCAUUGGUAACGUAAAGUAUACACUGGGUACACAUCUUCCCCUCUGUUCAGAAACUAGUAACACCACCAUAAAUCAUGAAGUCAGGGUAAAUUAAUUCUCCUCUCCGCUCAUUUCCUUCACCAACACCAAUGGAUUUGACAUUUUACAAGACUCCGAUGGCAAAGCGAUCGAGAGGUGGGGUCAAGCGGUGUUGUCAGAUGGUGAGGGCCUCCAAGCGGCCAUCACCAAGCCUGGCAACCUUGCUAAUUCAAUCCGUGCUAUCCCAUGGGGGAUUUCGCACCAACUGGGAUAGUAGUCUGGCUCAAUGGCUACAGGAUUUGAGGUUUAGAGGGGAGGGGAAGAUUGUAAUGUACAAGAGUCCAUCACGUCUUGCUAGACUUGGUCAGGAUGUGUACUAGCUCGGGAUAUCCGGAUGUCUGGUAUACAGCGCUUCCGAAGGCGAUAUCGCACAUCGAUCUUUCCAAGUGGGGAGCAACGCGAAAACUGUACUGGUUAAUCCUAUUGCAGACCAGGGGCUCAGCUUGGAGAUAACGAGGGAACGAGAGAUAUCGAUGCACGCUUCGGCGAACUUUGUUUGCCACCAAACGCUGGCCAUUAAUUUUCAAGUGAAGAUGACCUUGGAUUGAUUAUGGGUCGACUCGGUAUGUGGGAGAAUGAUGUUUCAAGAGCGGUCUUUUAAGGAGAUUACGAUUUGUCACUUGCGACGGAAAAAUACUGAUUGACGAGAUUGCGGAGAGACUCGCGUGAUGUCCGGACAUAAUUUUUAAUUGGAGACCAAUGUCGGGCUGAUAAUGGCUAUUGAGACAAAACCAACAAAUCAUAGAAUGCUGAAAUCCCUGCCAAUCUUUUAACCCUCAUACAACCCCAAAUUGAUAGAAUAUCCAUGCUCGUCUCAAAGGACCACAAACACUAUUUUCUCUGAGGUGAAAAGUCAUCAAAAGGGCAUUUGUCGUUUGCCAGACAUGGCAUCCAGGUUAGACAGAGGUGACACACCGGAUCGUGCUGUGCCGUGACAAGCCGUCAAGGCCGAACUGAGGCGUGUACUCACUCCGACAGACAUUUUCUCAUUUUCUCUAUUUACGUUGCGACGACGCGAGCGGAUAAUGUUCCCCCGAAAUACCCACCCUCCAUCCCCAAACUCUCUCUCUCUCUCUCUCUCACUCUAUCAUCCACUAUUUCGUAUUCUACAUUUAUUCUCUCCGUCGGAAAAACGUUGUUGCACGAAACGGCAGUCGUGCAGUGUGUCAUUUCACGUCAACUCUCGUUUGUCGCUACUCUCGUCUCUUAACAACCAGGGAGGGGGGGAGCAUCCUCUUGGCAGCUCUUACCGACAAACGGACCCCAUGCGGCUUGAAAAAGUAUCGCAGACACAUGCAUGCUCAACUCACAAGCUCCUAAUCCAUUUUUGCGUAACCCUAUUAUCCACCCCUGUCUCUACCACUUUGGCAUGAAUGAAGGGCAAAGGAGCUAAGGGGGUAGGGGUAGACUAUAUGUGCGGCUUUGGAUUAUCCUGUCGGUGUGAAUUAUUACGUGUGACGACUAUUGGCCAUGGUUUUAUGCGACAGCCCUGAUCCUUCUGAUGGAUAGACUGGAGAGGGCGGCCUAAUGAGGUGCGAUUGGUUUGAUUUGAUUGCGCGACGGCUGAGUCAUUGAAGUGUUGGAAAACAGUUGGAUAAACAGUGUACCGUACUCACUCAAUCUGUCUUUGUCAUCGGGAUUCCCCUGGAGGGGUUCACAUGAAGUGUUGCGGGUCGUUGAGGUCUCCUUGCAGUGCAGUUUUUUUCAUGUUCAAUUGAUAAGGCCUGCGCGGGUCUUCCCCGACAUCUCUGAUGGCCGCUGAGAUUGAGAUGUAUAUAAAGAUUCGGAGCCUCUGGAGGUGUCAGUCAUUUCCGUUCUGUCGCAACGAAAAAAUCAAACAAUCAUGAAAUUCAUCGCCGUCCUGUUAUUCCUCGUGGCAGUCAUCAUGGCUGUAGCUGGUACCCCAUUCAGGGACAAGAACAUACACAGGCCAGGAAAUGGAGGAAUCCCGACCUUCCCAGGACAAGGGCCUUUUAACCCAAAGUUGCCGUCAGGGCCAUGGGGCAGACCAGGCAGAAACUGAAUUUCACUCCGGAUAUCUCGAAUCAAAACUUCACCAUGUACUCGACUAAAUAAAAUCACACAUUAAAUUCCCCACAAAA